GAUGAACGCUGGCGGCGUGCCUAAUACAUGCCAGUCGAGCGAACAGACGAGGAGCUUGCUCCUUUGACGUUAGCGGCGGACGGGUGAGUAACACGUAGGUAACCUACCUAUAAGACUGGGAUAACUUCGGGAAACCGGAGCUAAUACCGGAUAAUAUUUCGAACCGCAUGGUUCGAUAGUGAAAGAUGGCUUUGCUAUCACUUAUAGAUGGACCUGCGCUGUAUUAGCUAGUUGGUAAGGUAACGGCUUACCAAGGCAACGAUACGUAGCCGACCUGAGAGGGUGAUCGGCCACACUGGAACUGAGACACGGUCCAGACUCCUACGGGAGGCAGCAGUAGGGAAUCUUCCGCAAUGGGCGAAAGCCUGACGGAGCAACGCCGCGUGAGUGAUGAAGGUCUUCGGAUCGUAAAACUCUGUUAUUAGGGAAGAACAAACGUGUAAGUAACUGUGCACGUCUUGACGGUACCUAAUCAGAAAGCCACGGCUAACUACGUG
rnacentral:rRNA from 1 species